UUAAAAUAGAUUAAUAUUCUUGAUACACCAAAUUUUGUAUAAUUACAGAUCUGAUCAUUCAUCAUCAACAAUAACUGCAUCUGAGAAUUAUAGUUCUACAGUAACCGUGGAGUCUAGGUCAACAAUUACUAUUUCUCAUCCAAGCCGUUUUUGUUUAACUGCUACACAUUCCCUGACUCUGCCAAGGAAAAGGGUAAAAUCAAAAUGAUAUCCUGAGGACCUAAGCACUGAUGAUUCCACCGUUUCAAGAGCUUAAUCACUUGUCACCAGAUUAUGGAAAAAAAAUAAAGAACAAAAAAUUAAAAUUUGAAGAUUGCAACAAGCAAAUUUGCGCCAAAGAAAUUGAAUUAGAUGUCUCAAGUCAUUAUUAAAAUACUUAAGAAAUAAUAACAUGAUUUUAUGGAAAAGCCCAACAUACUACAUAUUUUAUUUGACUUGUAAAAGCACUUGUUUGUAUAUUACUACUAAUAAACUCUCUAAUCUAAUCUA